AGCGAACGCUGGCGGCAGGCUUAACACAUGCAAGUCGAGCGGGCCCUUCGGGGUCAGCGGCGGACGGGUGAGUAACGCGUGGGAACGUGCCUUCUGGUCUGGAAUAACCCUGGGAAACUAGGGCUAAUACCGGAUACGCCCUUUUGGGGAAAGGUUUACUGCCGGAAGAUCGGCCCGCGUCUGAUUAGCUAGUUGGUGGGGUAACGGCCUACCAAGGCGACGAUCAGUAGCUGGUCUGAGAGGAUGAUCAGCCACACUGGGACUGAGACACGGCCCAGACUGCUACGGGAGGCAGCAGUGGGGAAUAUUGGACAAUGGGCGCAAGCCUGAUCCAGCCAUGCCGCGUGAGUGAUGAAGGCCUUAGGGUUGUAAAGCUCUUUUAUCCGGGACGAUAAUGACGGUACCGGAGGAAUAAGCCCCGGCUAACUUCGUGCCAGCCGCCGCAGUAAAAC
rnacentral:rRNA from 1 species